rnacentral:rRNA from 1 species
GUCGAGGGACCGGCGCACGGGUGAGUAACACGUUCCAACCUGCCGAUAACUCGGGGAUAGCCUUUCGAAAGAAAGAUUAAUACCCGAUGGUUAUCGAUGGGGAUGCGUUCCAUUAGGCAGUUGGUGAGGUAACGGCUCACCAAACCUUCGAUGGAUAGGGGUUCUGAGAGGAAGGUCCCCCACAUUGGAACUGAGACACGGUCCAAACUCCUACGGGAGGCAGCAGUGAGGAAUAUUGGUCAAUGGGCGCAAGCCUGAUCCAGCCAUACCGCGUGGGUGAAGAAGGCCUUCGGGUUGUAAAGCCCUUUUGUUGGGAAAGCGGUACCCAAAGAAUAAGCACCGGCUAACUUCGUGCCAGCAGCCGCGAUAAUACGAAGGGUGCAAGCGUUACUCGGAAUUACUGGGCGUAAAGCGUGCGUAGGUGGUCGUUUAAGUCCGUUGUGAAAGCCCUGGGCUCAACCUGGGAACUGCAGUGGAUACUGGGCGACUAGAUGUGGUAGAGGGUAGCGGAAUUCCUGGUGUAGCAGUGAAAUGCGUAGAGAUCAGGAGGAACAUCCAUGGCGAAGGCAGCUACCUGGACCAACAUUGACACUGAGGCACGAAAGCGUGGGGAGCAAACAGGAUUAGAUACCCUGGUAGUCCACGCCCUAAACGAUGCGAACUGGAUGUUGGGCAGUAUCGAAGCUAACGCGUUAAGUUCGCCGCCUGGGGAGUACGGUCGCAAGACUGAAACUCA